rnacentral:rRNA from 1 species
CUACGGGUGGCUGCAGUGGGGAAUAUUGGACAAUGGGCGAAAGCCUGAUCCAGCCAUGCCGCGUGUGUGAAGAAGGCCUUCGGGUUGUAAAGCACUUUCAGUGGGGAAGAAAGCCUUGGGGCUAAUACCCUCGAGGAAGGACAUCACCCACAGAAGAAGCACCGGCUAACUCCGUGCCAGCAGCCGCGGUAAUACGGAGGGUGCGAGCGUUAAUCGGAAUUACUGGGCGUAAAGCGCGCGUAGGCGGUCUGAUAAGCCGGUUGUGAAAGCCCCGGGCUCAACCUGGGAACGGCAUCCGGAACUGUCAGGCUAGAGUGCAGGAGAGGAAGGUAGAAUUCCCGGUGUAGCGGUGAAAUGCGUAGAGAUCGGGAGGAAUACCAGUGGCGAAGGCGGCCUUCUGGACUGACACUGACGCUGAGGUGCGAAAGCGUGGGUAGCAAACAGGAUUAGAUACCCGAGUGUC